rnacentral:rRNA from 1 species
GACGAACGCUGGCGGCGUGCUUAACACAUGCAAGUGGAGCGACGAACCAGGGCUUGCCCUGGGGCAGAGCCGCGAGCGGGUGAGUAACACGUGGGUAACGUGCCCCGAUGACUGGGACAACCCGGGGAAACCCGGGCUAAUACCGGAUGUGCCCCCUCACAUCAGUGAGGUGUGUAAAGGAAGCUUCGGCCUCCGCAUCGGGAUCGGCCCGCGGCCCAUUAGCUUGUUGGUGAGGUAACGGCUCACCAAGGCUGCGAUGGGUAGCUGGUCUGAGAGGACGAUCAGCCACACUGGGACUGAGACACGGCCCAGACUCCUACGGGAGGCAGCAGUGGGGAAUCUUGCGCAAUGCGCGAAAGCGUGACGCAGCAACGCCGCGUGGGGGAAGACGGCCUUCGGGUUGUAAACCCCUUUCAGUUGGGACGAAGGUCGGGCGGUUAACAGCCGUUCCGGCUGACGGUACCUUCACAAGAAGCCCCGGCUAACUACGUG